rnacentral:lncRNA from 1 species
CACCAUGUUAGCCAGGAUGGUCUCGAUCUCCUGACCUCGUGAUCCACCCGCCUCGGCCUCCCAAAGCAGACCACUUUCACUCUGACAAUGAUAGGUCUUUUACUGCAAAGGUUGCUCAACAAUGAGCCGAUAGUCAAGGUAUUCAACAGAUGUUUCACACCCCUUAUCAUCCUCAGGCUGCUGCCAUUUCUUUAUGUGUUGUCUGUGGCUGCUUGUGUUCUACAAUGGCAGAGCUGAGUAACUGUGUCAGAGGGUGUGUAGCCUACAAAGCUGAAAAUAUUACUCUCUGGCCCUUCACAGAAAGGUUACCAACUCCUGCCCUAGAUAACAAAGAUAACUACCACUUGGUUGAGGAUACUGCUCACCAAGUACCCCUACAGUGACCCACACCAGUCAAGCAAGGAAACAAGGUACCUGAAACUGCCGAAACAAAACAGCACAUAAGGAGAGACUACUGUAUUUUGCUUUAUGCAAGAUUUCAGGCUUUUAGCUGCUAAGAGAGAGGCCACUGCCAGUAACAGCCGGGGCGCCGAGCUGUCAAGGCUGACGGAGGAAUGGACGCUCAUCGCGCAGCGGAGUGUUGGAGGGGCAAGCCCGCCAAGAGACCCACUUUGCACAACUGUCCUCAGCCAGGAAACGACAGAUCAGGAACCCAGGGACAGAAACACACGCGGGGCCUCUUCAGA